rnacentral:tRNA from 2 species
CGGGGUGUAGCGCAGUCCGGUUAGCGCACCUGCCUUGGGAGCAGGGGGUCGGAAGUUCGAAUCUUCUCGCCCCGACUA